UUUUUAAAGGAUACUCUUGGGAGACCACCUGCAACAGAAGUUCCACUAGUAGACCAUUGUAAAUUCAAAUACCUCUUCAAUUUUCGAGGAGUUGCAGCCAGUUUUCGUUUCAAACACCUUUUCCUGUGUGGUUCUUUGAUCUUUCAUGUUGGAGAAGAUUGGCAAGAAUUCUUCUAUCCACAACUGAAACCUUGGGUUCACUAUAUCCCAGUUCAAUCUGAUCUUUCUAAUGUGAGAGAGCUAUUGGAAUUUGUAAGUGAAAAUGAUGAUGUUGCUCAAAAAAUUUCUGAGAGGUAAGCUCUUAUUACUGCUAUGCUUUAAUUGUAGGGAUUCCUUGGUAUAAAAUAGAUUUGAUAAUGAAGUCCAUAAGACUUUCCCAAGAUUAUAAUGGUAAUAUAAAAGUUAUGAUAGUACUGGAGAAAGGGACUUAUGCUCAAUCCCCAAACUUAUGGCC